rnacentral:rRNA from 1 species
AUGCUGGUGUUGGAAAUGGUGACCGGAAGGAGGAAUUUGGACCCAAGUAUUGAGAGCCAGAACGACGUUUACCUCCCAGAGUGGAUCUACGAGAAAGUGAUCAAUGGGGAGGAGUUGGCGCCUACAUUGGAAACGACUCAAGAAGAGAAAGAGAAGGUGAGGCAGCUGGCUAUGGUCGCACUGUGGUGUAUCCAGUGGAACCCGAGAAACCGGCCGUCGAUGACAAAGGUCGUUAACAUGUUAACAGGGAGGUUGCAGAGUCUGCAGAUGCCCCCAAAGAAAACCGUUCGUCUCAUCUGA